rnacentral:rRNA from 1 species
GCUUAUGGCCAUACCACCUUGAAUACGUCCAAUCUCAUCUGACCUUGCAAGCUAAAGAGGGUUGGGCCUGGUUAGUACUUGAAUGGGAGAGUUACUAGGAAUACCAGGUGCUGUAAGCU